rnacentral:rRNA from 1 species
UACGAAGGGGGCUAGCGUUGCUCGGAUUGACUGGGCGUAAAGGGCGCGUAGGCGGUUCGUACAGUCAGACGUGAAAUUCCUGGGCUCAACCUGGGGGCUGCGUUUGAUACGUGCGGACUUGAGUGCGGAAGAGGGUCGUGGAAUUCCGGGUGUAGUGGUGAAAUGCGUAGAGAUCCGGAGGAACCCCAGAGGCGAAGGCGGCGCCCUGGCUCGCAACUGACGCUCAGACACGACAGCAUGGGGAGCGAACGGG